rnacentral:lncRNA from 1 species
GCAGCGCUCGGAACCGGCUGGCAGCGGGGAUGUCAUUAGCCCUGACACAAAAACACAAGGCGAGGCUUUUUGACGCUUGUUUUCCAGUUUUGACACAAGAGGGGAAACGUGAGAAAGGCAAAGAAGAGGCAGUAGUUGAAUCCGUAACAGAAAAUUUGGAGUGUGAAGGAGGAAAUAAACCGAACGCAAAGGAGCGUGCAGAUGGGAGCUAAACUACACACGCUUUCUGACGUGGUGCAGAUAAGGGGCCUUCUCAAGGAUUCCCCUGUGUCCUUCUUCCCCAGGAGCAGCAAGCCCA